CAUGCUCUUGCGGUGAUCGAUCACUGUAGUGGCAUUUAAAUUACAAACGCUCUUCCAUCAAGGUUGCGAGCAUUAUUAGCCCACAAAUGCAUUAUACUUCAAAGCAUGCCCGGCAGAAUGCAGGAGGAAUUUAUUCAAGAUACACGUACUGUUCCACUGAGGUCUGCAGUGGUAUUAGUGAAGGCGCCGAUCGCGCGUCCACAAUGGGGAGAUAUCCGUCUUCUCCCGCACAGUAGCCUCUCAGACAGAACACAACUCGCUGAUCUAAGGUCGGGAAAAUCUAUGCAAAACCUAUCGAAUGUUAGACGGGACGGCGCACUUUAAUGAAAGAAAAUACAGAUUUUCAGGGAGGUGGCUGAUAAUUCCAUGGUGAAAUCGUAGAGAUGAAAAAUAUCAAGAAGAUUUUUCUGCGAAAUAUUGUGAUUUCCACCUGUGUCCGCUUGUUUGCAUUUAUGCUGUUUAUGAAAGUGCUCAUGUAUUGUGUGAGUUAAUAAACGUCACUUUAUUAGAUU